rnacentral:lncRNA from 1 species
UUCUAUGAAGUUAUUAAACUGUGAAUUUUUGUUUGUUGAACUUUCCAGUAUCUGUUUUUGACUAGUAUUCAUAUCUUUUUUUUUUUUUUUGUCUAUCUAAGUAUUCAUAUGUAAAGAAUUUAUUUUUUAUUUCAAUUCACCUAAACCUUUCUCAUUCAAAAACUAUCCUUAAUUUUGUUAGAAUACAAUUUACUAAUUUAGUCUAGUAUCGUCCACAUAUCGUCAUCAAUAGGUCAAUUGAGA